rnacentral:misc_RNA from 1 species
UACGAUAAAAGAAUCAUUGGU